ensembl:lincRNA
GAACCACUCUCACGCACAUGAGUGAACCAAGCCAUGGAAAGUGACAGAGAGGAGUGGUCUGAAAAGUUGCAGACUGGAGUUCACUACUCUUGCCCAAAGAUCAUGACCGCCUGUCAGAUCCAGCUGGGUUCUGCUGUGCAAAAGGCACAAGGCUUGGGAUGGUCACAGCACAUGGAUCCUGAUGCUGUUGGUGUGGAUUCUCCUUCCAUUCAUAAAUCUAGGCUUCACCCUCUGAAGAACGGAAAUGUGCUGAACUCAAUAUUCCUAGAUGAGGAAAAGGAAGCAGACUAGGACCAGAGACGAAGGGAGCUGAAUGGCUGGGUAAGAAGUCCUAGCAAGAGACUUCAAGUGGAAGGCUUUACAUUUGAAAAGACCAUGAUGCUCUGCAUUGAGACAUCACAACUGUCCACAGGAUCUGAAAGCAAGACUUACAUUCAGCUUUACAAGAUGAGAAUUUAUGGUAGUGCUUUCAAUUAAGUGAGAAAAGCCUUUAAUUUUAAGUGGAAGAGUAUGGUGAUAUUUCUUUGAGUUUGUGAAUGUUGAAUUUCCUGUAUUUCAUUUUACUAUUUAACAAGGUCCCCUAAAUGAGAUGAAAUAUCACCAUAUGGAGGCUUUGUAAAUAGAGGACUACUAAACAGCUCAGAUUUCUGAAGAGCUAAAGAUAUUUCAAACAGAGUCCUUUGUCCUGAUAAGCAUAUCAGUUUUCAUACCACUUACUUUGAUUUUGGGUUUGGGAUAUAUUGUCCCUGCACUUAAAUGUCCCAAGAAUAAGAACAGAAAUCUUAAUGCACAUGUAAUUAUGCUUAUCAUUGCAGAACUUAAGUAGUAACAUAAAACCCUCAUAAAAGAAUUUUUAUUUUUUAGGACUAAGGACUUAACGUAGUGCCUCAUACAUAGCUAGGCAAACACUCUGCCACUGAGCUACAUUGCAUAGCCCUGGAAAUGGUAUGUUUUCUAUUUUAUAUCUCAUGUAUGUGAGCAUAACUUGAAGUUGAUUAGUCAUUAUACACCAUUGUUCAUCACCUAAAAAUCAGAAUAGUGGUGCAUGCUUCUGAAGUAUUCCAGAAACACUGAUAUAAAAGUUAAAUUUGCAGUAAAAUCCUAUUAAUCCUAUGUGGCUGGGACCUCAGAAAAAUGAGGCAUCAAAUCAUUGAAAACUUUGAGAAUGCUUACUAAAACUUUAAAGUUAGCCGUAUUGCAACUGAAAGUUAUCCUCUUUAGGUAAAAAAGAAUUUUUAUCAGAGUUACACAGAACACAUUUAGGUAAUUUAAGUUAUUUGCUAGGUGAUUUUUAGGUUACCACAGUGACCAUAUCGUAAGGAUUUAUAAAAGGUAUCAAUUGCAGUGGCUGAAUGGCACUAGAUUGACUCAGUCACCACUUAUCAGAAUUAAUGAAUAGGGAAUGAGAAAGAAGACAUACGAAGGAACAAAUAAUCUAUGGGAGAAAGAGGGGAGAUACGUGUGUGCACACACUGAUAUGGCUAUAACGCCCAGAACCCCCAGCUUCCACUACAGCUCACAGGUAGGGGUUGUCAGCUAUGUUAGAGUUGAGGGAACCAAACACUAGGGUAACUCAUGUUUAAGUGCAGUACAAAACGAAGUUUUUUAAUGUCUGUAAUGUUAAGUUGAUCAACACAGGCAUUCAAAAUGUAUAAUGCAAGUUCUACAUAACUGUUUUGAUUACGUUUAUCUUUAAUUAAAUUUAUUAUUUUUAUUUUUAUUCUUAUUUAUUUAUUUAUUUAUUUAUUUUUUCCGGUACCAGGAAUUGAAC